rnacentral:rRNA from 1 species
AUUGAACGCUGGCGGCAGGCUUAACACAUGCAAGUCGAGCGGAGAGAGGUAGCUUGCUACUGAUCUUAGCGGCGGACGGGUGAGUAAUGCUUAGGAAUCUGCCUAUUAGUGGGGGACAACAUUUCGAAAGGAAUGCUAAUACCGCAUACGUCCUACGGGAGAAAGCAGGGGAUCUUCGGACCUUGCGCUAAUAGAUGAGCCUAAGUCGGAUUAGCUAGUUGGUGGGGUAAAGGCCUACCAAGGCGACGAUCUGUAGCGGGUCUGAGAGGAUGAUCCGCAACACUGGGACUGAGACACGGCCCAGACUCCUGCGGGAGGCAGCAGUGGGGAAUAUUGGACAAUGGGCGCAAGCCUGAUCCAGCCAUGCCGCGUGUGUGAAGAAGGCCUUAUGGUUGUAAAGCACUUUAAGCGAGGAGGAGGCUACUUUAGUUAAUACCUAGAGAUAGUGGACGUUACUCGCAGAAUAAGCACCGGCUAACUCUGUGCCAGCCGCCGCAGUAAAAC